rnacentral:rRNA from 1 species
UAGUCCACGCCGUAAACGAUGUGUGCUAGAUGUCGGGUCCAUAGGAUUCGGUGUCGCAGCUAACGCACUAAGCACACCGCCUGGGGAGUACGGUCGCAAGAUUAAAACUCAAAGGAAUUGACGGGGACCCGCACAAGCGGUGGAGCAUGUUCUUUAAUUCGACGCAACGCGAAGAACCUUACCUACACUUGACAUCCUGAUCGCGUUUUCAGAGAUAGAUUACUUCAGUUCGGCUGGAUCAGUGACAGGUGCUGCACGGCUGUCGUCAGCUCGUGUCGUGAGAUGUUUGGUUAAGUCCAGCAACGAGCGCAACCCCUAUCGUAUGUUACCAGCAUUUAGUUGGGGACUCAUGCGAGACUGCCGGUGUUAAGCCGGAGGAAGGUGGGGGACGACGUCAAGUCAUCAUGGCCCUUAGUGUAGGGGCUAGAAACGUGCUACAAUGGGAGUUACAGUGGGGCAGGCAACGGUCGCGAGGGCGAAGGCUAA